rnacentral:tRNA from 1 species
AUUGUUUUGGCAGAAAAGUGCAAUAGAUUUAGAAUCUUUUUAUAUAGGGUAGUUUCCUAUAAGCAAUA